rnacentral:lncRNA from 1 species
CUGUAGUCCGAGGCCAUUUUUGCUGGCUAUAAGUGCGGUCUCCAGAACAAAAGGGAACACAUCUCUUCUUAAAAUUAAAGGUGUUUAUGCCCGAGAUGAAACAGAAUUCUACUUGGGCAAGAGAUGUCCUUAUGUAUACAAAGCAAAGAACAACACGGUGACUCCUGGCAGCAAACCAAACAAAACCAGAGUAAUCUGGGGAAAGGUAACUUGGGCGCAUGAACACAGUGGCAUGGUUUGUGCCAAAUUCCGAAGCAAUCUUCCUGCUAGAGCUAUUGGACACAGAGUCCGAGUGAUGCUGUACCCCUCAAGGAUU